rnacentral:lncRNA from 1 species
UAAUCCCAUCCUGCACAGUAGUAAAUGGCCAUGUCUUCUUUCUCUACGGACUUGAUGGUAAGGAUUGAAGUGAGAGUUUGAGAAUUCUUUCUUGCUUCCACUUUGUUGCUCCUCUUACCCAUGCUGCCUUGAACUGCAGAUUUUGUUGAGAUAAUAUAGAUCAGAUGCUCCAAAGCCUGAUUCGGUUUCUGCCAGUACCAGUGAAUGACAUCGUUUUCAAAGUUUGUGCUCCAUAUCUUGCAAGGCUGCCUCUUGUGAACCCCUUCACAGGACUGAAAGCAAAAAGCACCCGAGACAAAACAGUCGACAUGGAUUUCCAGGGCACUUGGAGGCAACCACCCAAGUCCACUCUGAGAAGGGUUGAACCUGCUUUAUUAAAAGGACUGAGGAUCAUGUAUGUUGGUGGGUUUGGACUCUCCUGUAAGGAAGUCAGGGACCCCGAAUGGAGGGACCAGCUGAAGCUGCAGCAGAAGAACAUAAAUUGUGAAGAUUUCAUGGACAUUUAUCAGUUCCCCAAAUUAAUACUUUUAUAAUUUCUUACGCCUGUCUUUACUGCAGUCUUUGAACAUAAAUUGUGAAGAUUUCAUGGACAUUUAUCACUUCCCCAGUCAAUACUCUUAUAAUUUCUUAUGCCUGUCUAUACUUUAAUCUCUUAAUCCUGUCAUCUUCAUAAGCUGAGGGUGUAUGUCACCUCAGGACCCUGCGAUGAUUGCAUUAUCUGUACAAAUUGUUUGUAAAACACGUGUGUUUGAACAAUAUAAAAUCUGGGCACCCUGAAAAAGAACAGGAUAGCAGCAAUUUUCAGGGAACAAGGGAUAUAACCAUAAGAUCUGACUGCCUGUGGUGUCAGGCACAACAGAGUCAUAUUUUUCUUCUUGCAGAAAGCAAAUAGGAGAAAUAUCACUGAAUUCUUUUCCCAGCAAGGAAUAACCCUGGGGAAGGAAUGCAUUCCCAGGGGUAGGCCUAUUGACGACCGCUCUAGGACUGUCUGUCUUAUGCGGUUGAAGAUAAGGGACGAAAUACGUCCUGGUCUCCUGUAGUGCCCUCAGGCUUACUAGGUUGGGGAAAUUCCAGGCUGGUGAAUUCUAGUCAGACCAGUUUUCUGCUCUCGAAUCCUGUUUCCUGGUAAGAUGUUUAUCAAGAUAGUAUGUACCCAGUGGGACAUGGAAGCUCAUCAGUAAUUCUAAUUUUGCCCUGGCCUUGUGAUCUUGCUCUGCCCUUCUGCCCUUGUGAUCUUUUAUUGCCCUUUGAAACAUGUGAUCUUUGUGACUUACUCCCUAUUCAUACACCCCUCCCCUUUUGAAAUCCCUAAUAAAAAUUUGCUGGCUUUGCGGCUCA